rnacentral:rRNA from 1 species
GAUGAACGCUAGCUACAGGCUUAACACAUGCAAGUCGAGGGGCAGCAUGUCGGUUGCUUGCAACCGACGAUGGCGACCGGCGCACGGGUGAGUAACGCGUAUCCAACCUACCCUUGUCCAUCGGAUAACCCGUCGAAAGGCGGCCUAACACGAUAUGCGGUUCUCAGCAGGCAUCUAACGAGAACGAAAUGUGAAGGAGAAGGAUGGGGAUGCGUCUGAUUAGCUUGUUGGCGGGGUAACGGCCCACCAAGGCAACGAUCAGUAGGGGUUCUGAGAGGAAGGUCCCCCACAUUGGAACUGAGACACGGUCCAAACUCCUACGGGAGGCAGCAGUGAGGAAUAUUGGUCAAUGGACGGGAGUCUGAACCAGCCAAGUAGCGUGCAGGAUGACGGCCCUAUGGGUUGUAAACUGCUUUUAUAGGGGGAUAAAGUGUGCCACGUGUGGCAUAUUGCAGGUACCCUAUGAAUAAGGACCGGCUAAUUCCGUGCCAGCAGCCG